rnacentral:rRNA from 1 species
CUACGGGGGGCUGCAGUGGGGAAUAUUGGACAAUGGGCGAAAGCCUGAUCCAGCCAUGCCGCGUGUGUGAAGAAGGCCUUCGGGUUGUAAAGCACUUUCAGUGGGGAAGAAAGCCUUGGGGCUAAUACCCUCGAGGAAGGACAUCACCCACAGAAGAAGCACCGGCUAACUCCGUGCCAGCAGCCGCGGUAAUACGGAGGGUGCGAGCGUUAAUCGGAAUUACUGGGCGUAAAGCGCGCGUAGGCGGUCUGAUAAGCCGGUUGUGAAAGCCCCGGGCUCAACCUGGGAACGGCAUCCGGAACUGUCAGGCUAGAGUGCAGGAGAGGAAGGUAGAAUUCCCGGUGUAGCAGUGAAAUGCGUAGAGAUCGGGAGGAAUACCAGUGGCGAAGGCGGCCUUCUGGACUGACACUGACGCUGAGGUGCGAAAGCGUGGGUAGCAAACAGGAUUAGAUACCCGAGUAGUC